rnacentral:rRNA from 1 species
CCUACGGGUGGCAGCAGUGGGGAAUAUUGGACAAUGGGGGCAACCCUGAUCCAGCCAUGCCGCGUGUGUGAAGAAGGCCCUCGGGUUGGAAAGCACUUUCAGUGAGGAAGAACGCCUGGUGGUUAAUACCCAUCAGGAAAGACAUCACUCACAGAAGAAGCACCGGCUAACUCCGUGCCAGCAGCCGCGGUAAUACGGAGGGUGCGAGCGUUAAUCGGAAUUACUGGGCGUAAAGCGCGCGUAGGUGGCUUGAUAAGCCGGUUGUGAAAGCCCCGGGCUCAACCUGGGAACGGCAUCCGGAACUGUCAAGCUAGAGUGUAGGAGAGGAAGGUAGAAUUCCCGGUGUAGCGGUGAAAUGCGUAGAGAUCGGGAGGAAUACCAGUGGCGAAGGCGGCCUUCUGGACUGACACUGACACUGAGGUGCGAAAGCGUGGGUAGCAAACAGGAUUAGAUACCCGAGUAGUC